AGUGUUGGGAUUACAGGCAUGAGCCACCGUGCCCAGCCCCACGUGAUUAUUACUAAUUGAAAAUUUUCCCAAUAUCCCAUCAUGACGACUUGAAAUAUAGUCAGCAUUGGUAAUUUUUGUCAGUCUCUACGGAGA
rnacentral:snRNA from 1 species